AUUUUUUAGAUACUUAAGUCAGGCAAAGUAGAGACUUUCAGACUUUUUACAGACUUAAGUAAGAAAAAUCCAACAUGUCCGGCAAAGGCAAGGCUGAUAAUGACAACAAGUCUGCUCAGUGCAAUCCUAAUAAUGAAGAAUAUAAAGGUCACCAACCUGGAUAUACGGGAACCGGCGAUAAGGCCGACCUCGACAACCACAGCAACCAAAAAAACCCAAACAAUGAGAGAUAUCAGGGAGAAAAAAAAUGAGGAUGUCUUUAUCAAAGCUGAGGACACAUUACACCAUUUCCAGCUUCAUUUUUAACAUUUUUUAUUUUUCAUUUUGAGAAUGAUCAAAUUUAGACACACAAAAAAAAAGAUCAAGUUUACUACAUAAUAAGAUCAUUUUAGGACAUAACAACUGUGAUGUAAACAAAACAUUUUUUUUUUAAAUUUGAUACAAAAAAUCAGUCCUGUUCUGCAGGUCAAUAAAGUGUGUUCACUUUCCAAA